rnacentral:rRNA from 1 species
UACGUAGGGUGCGAGCGUUGUCCGGAAUUAUUGGGCGUAAAGGGCUCGUAGGCGGCCAACUAAGUCGGAUGUGAAAUCCCCAAGCUUAACUUGGGAACUGCAUCCGAUACUGGAUGGCUUGAAUCCGGGAGAGGGAUGCAGAAUUCCAGGUGUAGCGGUGAAGUGCGUAGAUAUCUGGAGGAAUACCGGUGGCGAAGGCGGCAUCCUGGACCGGCAUUGACGCUGAGGAGCGAAAGCUAGGGGAGCAAACGGG